AUCCAGUUGACGAGUUCCGAAUAGGACGAAACGCAAGUCCUGGAC
rnacentral:hammerhead_ribozyme from 1 species